UUGAAGGAGUCUGCCCUGCCCACGAGGGCUUGGCCGGGCAGCAAGGACUGCGCUCCAUCUGUCUGUCCAGUCCCUCCCUGCGUGUCCCUGAGGUAGCUCCUGGAGGACAGUGGCCGGCACCUUGUCAGGGUCCACACCUGGUUGAUGCAAGAAGGCACAGGAACUAGCCUCCCAGCAACCCUGGAGCCAGGAGACAAGUCCAGAGGAAGCUGCUGGAGUCCCCAGCAAGAUACCUGCCCCGACCCCUCCACACCAGGCAGGUGCUCAGGCUGUGGGAGCUGCUCAGACGCUUGAGAGCCGGCCACUCUCUGUGUACUCCAGACCCACGGGCCAGGAGUGGGCAUGCAGUUAGAGACCCGUGAGCAAGGACAGCCCACUGAGAUGGACACACAAACAGUGGGUCCCUGAGCGUGGGAAACCAAGAGGGGCUGGGGCCGAGGCCAGGCCACAGACCCCAUCUCCAGGUUUGUGGCCCUGAGCCUCCCGCGGCACCAUCCCAGCUCCUGUUGAGCAUGGCCCUCCCUGGGAGCCACUGUGGCCACACACACACUCCUCCGAGCACCUUUGUCCAGUCCAUCCAAUCUUUCACCCCAGGAGACCCCCACCUGCAGCCUGGAGAGGGGUGCAGGCAGGGCAUGCAGCAGGGGCCAGCCCCGUCCCAACCUCCUCCAGCCCCCUGGC
rnacentral:lncRNA from 1 species